CCUACGGGUGGCAGCAGUGAGGAAUAUUGGUCAAUGGACGCAAGUCUGAACCAGCCAUGCCGCGUGCAGGAAGACGGCUCUAUGAGUUGUAAACUGCUUUUGUACGAGGGUAAACGCAGAUACGCGUAUCUGUCUGAAAGUAUCUUACGAAUAAGGAUCGGCUAACUCCGUGCCAGCAGCCGCGGUAAUACGGAGGAUUCAAGCGUUAUCCGGAUUUAUUGGGGUUAAAGGGUGCGUAGGCGGUGGGAUAAGUUAGAGGGGAAAUCCCGAGGCUCAAUUUCGGAAUUGCCUCUGAUACUGUGCGGCUAGAGAGUAGUAGCGGUAGGCGGAAUGUAUGGUGUAGCGGUGAAAUGCUUAGAGAUCAUAGAACACCGAUUGCGAAGGCAGCUUACCAAGCUACUUCUGACGUUGAGGCACGAAAGCGUGGGGAGCAAACAGGAUUAGAUACCCGAGUAGUC
rnacentral:rRNA from 1 species